CAUAGGUAUGCGAGGCGAACGCGGGGAACUGAAACAUCUAAGUACCCGUAGGAACAGAAAUCAAUUGAGAUUCCGUCAGUAGCGGCGAGCGAACGCGGAUUAGCCCUUAAGUCUGUGAAUGAUUAGGAGAACGGUCUGGGAAGGCCGGCCAUAGUGGGUGAUAGCCCCGUAUCCGAAAAUCUGAUCAGGUGAAAUCGAGUAGGUCGGAGCACGUGAAACUUUGACUGAAUGUGGGGGGACCAUCCUCCAAGGCUAAAUACUCCUGGCUGACCGAUAGUGAACCAGUACCGUGAGGGAAAGGCGAAAAGAACCCCGGAGAGGGGAGUGAAAUAGAACCUGAAACCGUGUACGUACAAGCAGUCGGAGCCCUCUUUGUGGGGUGACGGCGUACCUUUUGUAUAAUGGGUCAGCGACUUAAUUUCAGUAGCGAGGUUAACCGUUUAGGGGAGCCGUAGGGAAACCGAGUCUUAAUAGGGCGUUUAGUUGCUGGGAUUAGACCCGAAACCGGGCGAUCUAUCCAUGGGCAGGUUGAAGAUGCGGUAACACGCAUUGGAGGACCGAACCGACUACCGUUGAAAAGUUAGCGGAUGACCUGUGGAUCGGAGU
rnacentral:rRNA from 1 species